CAGUAGCCGCGGGAAUACGUAGGGUGCAAGCGUUAAUCGGAAUUACUGGGCGUAAAGCGUGCGCAGGCGGUUAUAUAAGACAGAUGUGAAAUCCCCGGGCUCAACCUGGGAACUGCAUUUGUGACUGUAUAGCUAGAGUACGGCAGAGGGGGAUGUAAUUCCGCGUGUAGCAGUGAAAUGCGUAGAUAUGCGGAGGAACACCGAUGGCGAAGGCAAUCCCCUGGGCCUGUACUGACGCUCAUGCACGAAAGCGUGGGGAGCAAACAGGAUUAGAUACCCCCGUAGUCCCUGUCUCUUAUAC
rnacentral:rRNA from 1 species